rnacentral:tRNA from 1 species
UCCGGAGUAGCUCAACGGUAGAGCAGCUCCCUGUUAAGGAGUUGGUUGCAGGUUCGAAUCCUGCCUCCGGAG